CAGCAGUCAAGAAUAUUAGUCAAUGGCCUAACGGCUGAACUGGCAACUUGGAGAAGUGGCAAGUCUUCCAGUAUGGGGAGCAAAACAGCUAUGGGUCAAGUCUGAUAUCUUUAGGAGGGGGGAAGCUCCUCUUAUUGUGAGGGCGAGUUAUAUAACACCAUAGGACUGGCCGUCCCAUAUGAAAAGAUUAUAUUAGAAUUGAAUGAAGCUUUGUUUAUAUAUUGAUAAUGACAGUAUAUAUAUCGUGUCUUGACUAAUUGCGUGCCAGCAGUCGCGGUAAUACGUAAGAGACUAGUGUUAUUCAUCUUAAUUAGGUUUAAAGGGUACCCAGACGGUCAAUAUAGCUUAUAAAAUGUUAGUACUUGACUAGAGUUUUAUGUAAGAGGGCAGUACUUGAGGAGGAGAGAUGAAAUUUCGUGAUACCAAAGGGACUCUGUAAAGGCGAAGGCAGCCCUCUAUGUAAAAACUGACGUUGAAGGACGAAGGCACAGAGAACAAACAGGAUUAGAUACCCAAGUAGUCUUUGCAGUAAAUGAUGAAUGCCAUAGGUUAGAUGGGUGGGCUCGUCUAGUUGAGUUAGCUUAGCAAACUAAUGAUCUAGGUGAGCCCACAAUAUAUUUGGUCUAUAAAUGAAAGUGUAAGCAUUUCACCUCAAGAGUAAUGUGGCAACGCAGGAACUGAAAUCACUAGACCGUUUCUGACACCAGUAGUGAAGUAUGUUAUUUAAUUCGAUAAUCCGCA
rnacentral:rRNA from 1 species